rnacentral:rRNA from 1 species
AUUGAACGCUGGCGGCAGGCCUAACACAUGCAAGUCGAGCGAGCGGCGGACGGGUGAGUAAUGUCUGGGAAACUGCCUGAUGGAGGGGGAUAACUACUGGAACCGGUAGCUAAUACCGCAUACCAUCAGAUGUGCCCAGCUGGGAUUAGCUAGUAGGUGGGGUAAAGGAUCACCUAGGCGACGAUCCCUAGCUGGUCUGAGAGGAUGACCAGCAAGACUGGAACUGAUACACGGUCAAGACGCAUACGGGAGGCAGCAGUGGGGAAGAUUGCACAAUGGGCGCAAGCCUGAUGCAGCCAUGCCGCGUGGGUGAAGAAGGCCUUCGGGUGGUAAAGCACUGUCAGCGGGGAGGUGUUACCCGCAGAAGAAGCACCGGCUAACUCCGUGCCAGCAGCCGCGGUAAUUC